rnacentral:rRNA from 1 species
AUUGAACGCUGGCGGCAGGCCUAACACAUGCAAGUCGAACGAGUGGCGGACGGGUGAGUAAUGUCUGGGAAACUGCCUGAUGGAGGGGGAUAACUACUGGAAACGGUAGCUAAUACCGCAUACCAUCGGAUGUCCCCAGAUGGGAUUAGCUAGUAGGUGGGGUAACGGCUCACCUAGGCGACGAACCCUAGCUGGUCUGAGAGGAUGACCAACCACACUGGAACUGGGACACGGUCCAGACUCCAAGUGAAGGCAGCAGUGGGGAAUAUUGCACAAUUGGCGCAAGCCUGAUGCAGCCAUGCCGCGUGUAUGAAGAAGGCCUUCGGGUUGUAAAGUACUUUCAGCGGGGAGGCGUUACCCGCAGGAGAAGCACCGGCUAACUCCGUGCCAGCAGCCGCGGUAAUUC